rnacentral:rRNA from 1 species
GACGUAGGGAGCGAGCGUUGUCCGGAUUCAUUGGGCGUAAAGCGCGCGCAGGCGGCCAGGCAAGUCGGAUGUGAAAAUCCGAGGCUCAACCUCGGACCUGCACCCGAAACUGCUUGGCUAGAGGUAGGUAGGGGAGAUCGGAAUUCCUGGUGUAGCGGUGAAAUGCGCAGAUAUCAGGAGGAACACCGGUGGCGAAGGCGAGUCUCUGGACAGUUCCUGACGCUGAGGCACGAAGGUCAGGGGAGCAAACGGG